rnacentral:rRNA from 1 species
ACAACGAGAAGCGAACCUGCGAAGGCAAGCGGAUCUCUUAAAGCCGUUCUCAGUUCGGACUGUAGGCUGCAACUCGCCUACACGAAGCUGGAAUCGCUAGUAAUCGCGGAUCAGAAUGCCGCGGUGAAUACGUUCCCGGGUCUUGUACACACCGCCCGUCACACCAUGGGAGUUGGAAAUGCCCGAAGUCAGUGGCCCAACCGGGAAGGGGGGAGCUGCCGAAGGCAGGUUCGAUGACUGGGGUGAAGUCGUAACAAGGUAAC